rnacentral:rRNA from 6 species
UAAACGACUCUCGGCAACGGAUAUCUCGGCUCACGCAUCGAUGAAGAACGUAGCAAAAUGCGAUACUUGGUGUGAAUUGCAGAAUCCCGUGAACCAUCGAGUUUUUGAACGCAAGUUGCGCCCGAAGCCAUUCGGCCGAGGGCACGUCUGCCUGGGCGUCACG